UCGACCAGCAGCACAAGGAAAUCAGAAGUCCAAAGAUAUUAUUGUCUAUAAUCACCAUAUCAACACGUUAUUAAACGCUAUUUUUCCUUUGAGCGAGUCCGUGAGUUUUUAAAAGUGACCACGAUGUCUCAAGUGACUCUUUUGGACGAAGUUUCUCAGUGGAACCAGGAGACCUGUCAACGAGAACUCAAAACUGUCCUGCCUAAACUAGUUGCCAUGCAUCAUGAAACUGACAGCUGGGAAGAGCAUACAAAUAUUCUGCAAAUAAUCACAAGCAGGUUUCUUCCUCAUCUCUCUUUAUCUGAUUUAGAGACUGGAUGUUUCUCCACUGCUUUACCCAAGGUUGUAAAAGUGUUCGCAAGUCUUUUGGAAGAAAUCAGCAAGCAAAUUGGAGGCCUUUCUAGUCAGAACACAGAGUUGCAUUUAUUUCUGAGAAAAAUCCUGAAGAUGAUGGUCCAGACACUGGAGUGCCUCUCUGGUUGUGUGCGUCAUGUCUGUUCCAUUGAAGAGUCUGUUUCCUUCAGCAACAUUCGUUCUUUGCCCUCUUGCAUCCUUAGAGUCCUAAAGGACACCUUUCAGCACUGCAAGGACAGUGAGGUCAUGUACAGUGGAAGACUGUCAUUGGUUGGUGAUCUCCUUCAAGGCCUGUUUAAAGAGGCCUAUUCUUUGCAGAAGAGCCUUAUGGAACUUUUGGACAAGAUUAACUUUGAAGACACUGCGUCUGAGGAGGACAUAUCAGAUAUUGUCACAGUGAUCCACAGUCUGCUGGACAUAUGCUUGAUCAUAUCCAGGCUGGACAUUGCGCUACAUGCCAACACAUGGAAAUUUAUUAUUAAACAGAGUGUGAAGUACCAGUCUCUAGUAGAGGAUCGGCUUCACCACACUGACAUUUCCUUUAUGUUAUGUGAAGACCUGUGUACGUCUGUCGAGAACUGUCUUGAGCUGGCUCAACAGAUCCAACAGGCAGGCCUACAGGUAAAGGAGACUCAUCAGUUAAAAUUAAUGGAAGCUGUGCACUCUUCAGAAUACAAGCUUUUCCAAAAAGCAACAAAGAUGUGUAGGUUUUUUGCCAACACAUUAGUCCACUACACAAAGGAAUUUAAAGUGUUUCUUUCCAAGUCGUGCAGUCGAUUUCACCAGUUGUAUCUCCAAAUCCAUAGCAAGUUUCCUCCAUCUCUCUGUGCCCCAUCUGUGCCUCCUACCCUUAUUGAGGAGCUGAGAGUGGCAGUUCUGGUUCCUGUGGAUGCCAUGCUGACACAAAUGAUGUCCUUUCAUCCCUUCGCUGAGUCUGUCCUGAACCCAGACCAUCGGAGCAGUGCCGAGCUUUUUCUACCACAGUGUCUGCUGCUGGUAAAUGUUAUGGGUAAGCUGUCAUCCCAGCCAGAAGAAGCGCUGCGGCUGUGGAGUGAUGGCAGCCAGUUUUCAGAAGAAACUCCAAGAUGGUCCGUGUUUGAGGCGGUGUUCCAGAGUUUUCGGCUGUGUGUGUUGGAGCGUUUAGUGCCAGUGUGUUUACCAGGGGUGAUGCUGCGAGGCCAGGCUCAGGGUACAGUCAGUCUGCACCAGCAUGUGUGUGUGCAUUUGUGUGCUUGUGUGGCUGUGCUGCCUGCUCAACACUUCCCUCCACUGGAGCGCUCAUUAUUAGCCGCUGUAUUGCAGACAGACACACAGACGGCUCUCUUGGCCACAGAUGUCUGGUGCUUCCUAGCUCGGUAUGGCACGGCUGAGUUGUGUUUUCAUCAUGUUGUCGUUAUUGCUCAUUUGAUAAGGUCAUGUCCUGCUGGGGGUUAUCAACUGAUUCACUUGGCCCUGGUACUCAGACGCCUACUUUUUCUGAUGACUCCAAAACACCAGGUGGAGUUUGUGGAGCGCUUUCCACUUUCUCAGGAGGAGAACCUUUGUGUGUGGCGUCACACUCUGCUUAGGUGUCUGUGCGUGGAGGCCCGUGUGCGGGUGGAGGAGCAGGUGCUCGACAGGGCUUCUGUGGUGCUGGAGGAAUGGCAGAACAGCGGCUGCAGGCUGGGAGGAAUACCGAGACUGAACCGGAUACUGGACUGUGUGCUGCUGGUUGUAGGAGGCAGUGGCACACAGACUGAAUGUGUGGAGUCCUCAGUGAAGAUCAUCUCUCAGCUGUGGAGUCACAUGAGGAGCAGCCAGGUUCAGGUACAUGUGACACUUCAGUGCACUGUGAAAUUACUCCUGUCACUAUCAGCUGUUCUGAUCAAAAGUUUAGAGCCACACGUCAUCUUUCAGGCUGUUUCCUGUUUGAGUGGCUUGAGUAUCCAUCAAUGUCCUGAUGACCUGCUUUUAGCUGCUUUGGAAUUUCUUGCUUCCUUGGGACAAAUAUUUAUUCCUCCCAAUAUUCAGGGCCAAGUUUUGCCCAGAAUCAGUUCUCUAUUUAAUGGUUUUUUGACUCAGCCAUCCUGGCUGAUACUCCAUCAUGUCCUGGAGGCAUUUGGCUGCUUUGCAGAGAUAACAAACCACGAGGAAGUGAUUUCUCAAACGCUGACAACAGAAGAGGUCAAAUCCAAAGUGUUAAAUUUCCUCAGUAAGACUGUCUCACUGCAGGAGUCUGAGGAAACAAGACUAGAACGUCUGAAAGAGUGGAGGAGUGUUAUAGAGAAACACUGUCAGCAAAUGGAGAGUGAAAAAAGCCCAUCUGCACACACACCACUUACUGAAGAGCCAUGUGCGAAGAGGCCAAGACAGGAGACCAAAGCAGAAGAGGAGUACGAGCGAUAUCUCCAGACAGCAGAAAGUGCCUUGAAAGCCCUGCAGGCAAUAGAGAGCAGGACUCGUCAUUCUGACGACAAUGACACAUUCAUUGACACAGAAAUGUAGUUUUCGCCCGCCACGCAGAUCAUCGUUUCUGGACCGCUUCCUACCUACCGCCGAGGAAAUGAAAGGUUCAGUAGACUUUUUGCUCUGAAUGAAUGGCUAUUAACAUGGUGUGAAGAACAGAAAUUGCUCUUUGCCAAUAACUGGAAUCUUUUCUGGGAGCGUCCUAGGCUUUUCCGCGCUGAUGGGCUGCACCCCAGUCGAGCUGGAGCUGAACUCCUGUCGGACAACAUCACCAGAAUACUUCGCUCUAUCUGACUAGCCCUCAGACUAUGCAGAGUCACUGAUUCGAUCCAAGACCAACGACGAGAUGAUCCCAAGGUUUCCAUAUCCUGGACCUGGCCGAAUCCUGAACAACUACUGCAAUGGUCAUGGAAGAGUGGAGAACAUGAGACUGUUUCCUAUGACGCUCCAGAGACAGACGAGUCUUCGCUGAGGCCAGCUUCCAGCCUCCGCCACUGAGACUGCAGCUCUGCACAAGACGUUUGGCCAGCGGAGAAAUUAAAAUGGUCGUGCCCAACUGAGCCUGGUUUCUCUCAAGGUUUUUUUUCUUCACUUCCGCCUUUAGUGAAGUUUUUUUUUCCCUCUCCGCUGUCGCCACUGGCUUGCAUGGUUCAGGAUCUGUAGAGCUGCGCAUCGUUGGAUUUGCUCUUCAAUAUUUCGACUCUCAGUAGGGAUUAUUAAACCACACUGAACUGAGCUAAACUGAACUGAACUUAAACACUACAAACUGAACUACACUGUUCCUAUUUACUGUGACCUUUUAUGUGAAGCUGCUUUGACACAAUCUACAUUGUAUAAGCGCUAUACAAAUAAAGGUGAAUUGAAUUGAAUUGAAUUUUGAGAAAUGAACUAAGGAUUUUGAGCAGGAGACUGGCUUUUGCAGGUAAUGCAUGGUCUUUUGUUAUUUGAGUGUGUUGUUUUGAGAAACGCACUUACUGUUCUGCAAAUUUCAAUUCUGAUUUGAGAAAUGUGCCAAAGCGACUGAGAAAAACUGCAUUCAUUCAUUGUU